rnacentral:rRNA from 1 species
UACGGAGGGGGCUAGCGUUGUUCGGAAUUACUGGGCGUAAAGCGUACGUAGGCGGCUUGGCAAGUUAGAGGUGAAAGCCCGGAGCUCAACUCCGGAAUAGCCUUUGAGACUGCCUCGCUUGAACGUCGGAGAGGUGAGUGGAAUUCCGAGUGUAGAGGUGAAAUUCGUAGAUAUUCGGAAGAACACCAGUGGCGAAGGCGGCCCGCUGGACAAGUAUUGACGCUGAGGUGCGAAAGCGUGGGUAGCAAACAGG